AGACUACAUGCACUAAGGUUGUUCUCCCUUUACCUUGUUUCCCUUCACCUACCAUGGCCAAGAGAAAGGUUUUUGGUUCAAUCAUGCUUAUUCUCUUUGUAUAAGCUCAAUGCAACCUCUAAGAGUGAUUUGCCCUUCUUUUUAAUCACACUUUUUAUUCAGCAGCACUUAUUUAUUCUUGCCUGAAAAAAUCACUAACCUUUUUACGCGAAGGUGCAUAUUGGUGAUACCCACCCCCGGUUACUCAGUUAGUCACUUGUUCAAGUGGCUACUAGCUCUGUUCAU
rnacentral:lncRNA from 1 species